GAUGAACGCUGGCGGCGUGCCUAAUACAUGCAAGUCGAGCGAACAGACGAGGAGCUUGCUCCUCUGACGUUAGCGGCGGACGGGUGAGUAACACGUGGAUAACCUACCUAUAAGACUGGGAUAACUUCGGGAAACCGGAGCUAAUACCGGAUAAUAUAUUGAACCGCAUGGUUCAAUAGUGAAAGACGGUUUUGCUGUCACUUAUAGAUGGAUCCGCGCCGCAUUAGCUAGUUGGUAAGGUAACGGCUUACCAAGGCAACGAUGCGUAGCCGACCUGAGAGGGUGAUCGGCCACACUGGAACUGAGACACGGUCCAGACUCCUACGGGAGGCAGCAGUAGGGAAUCUUCCGCAAUGGGCGAAAGCCUGACGGAGCAACGCCGCGUGAGUGAAGAAGGUCUUCGGAUCGUAAAACUCUGUUAUUAGGGAAGAACAAAUGUGUAAGUAACUAUGCACGUCUUGACGGUACCUAAUCAGAAAGCAACGGCUAACUACGUG
rnacentral:rRNA from 1 species